rnacentral:lncRNA from 1 species
UCUUCUUGCCAUAUGCAUUCAGGUUUUGACCCCACAUCAUUCUAGAACCAUGUAAAUCUACUGCUUUCAUCAAUGAGAAGGUGCCUUCCAGCAAGCAUAAUGGAACCUUUAGUCUAUGGUGGCUACAGAGUAAGUAUUUCUUACAAGGUUGCGCUUUUGUCCAAGUUGUUCUGUGUUCUAAUUAGGCAAAACUUUCUAAAACUUAAAUUUUUUCACUCUG